rnacentral:rRNA from 1 species
CGGAGGGAGCUAGCGUUGUUCGGAAUUACUGGGCGUAAAGCGCGCGUAGGCGGUUUUUUAAGUCAGAGGUGAAAGCCCAGUGCUCAACACUGGAACUGCCUUUGAAACUGGAAAACUUGAAUCUUGGAGAGGUCAGUGGAAUUCCGAGUGUAGAGGUGAAAUUCGUAGAUAUUCGGAAGAACACAGUGGCGAAGGCGACUGACUGGACAAGUAUUGACGCUGAGGUGCGAAAGCGUGGGGAGCAAACAGGAUU